AGUGGGGAAUAUUGGGCAAUGGACCAAAAGUCUGAUCCAGCAAUUCUGUGUGUUUGAUGAAGGCCUUCGGGUUGUAAAGAACUUUCAAUGGGGAAGAAGCAAGUGACGGUACCCAUAGAAGAAGCGACGGCUAAAUACGUGCCAGCAGCCGCGGUAAUAUGUAUGUCGCAAGCGUUAUCCGGAAUUAUUGGGCGUAAAGCGCGUCUAGGCGGCCUUUUAAGUCUGAUGUGAAAAUGCGGGGCUCAACUCCGUAUUGCGUUGGAAACUGGAAGGCUAGAGUAUCAGAGAGGUGGGCGGAACUACAAGUGUGGAGGUGAAAUCCGUAGAUAUUUGUAGGAAUGCCGAUGGGGAAGCCAGCUCACUGGAUGAAUACUGACGCUAAAGCGCGAAAGCGUGGGGAGCAAACGGGAUUAGAUACCCCGGUAGUCCACGCCGUAAACGAUGAUCACUAAGUGUGGGGGGUCGAACCUCCGUGCUCAAGCUAACGCGAUAAGUGAUCCGCCUGGGGAGUACGUACGCAAGUAUG
rnacentral:rRNA from 1 species